GGCUCCUGGUUCCAGGAUAUUCCCGAGGACGGUCCGACGAGGGUCACCGGAGGGUGUGACACGGUGCUCCCGCGCUCUGCUGAAAACCAAAACCAUCACCUCCUACCACUGCCACAAAGAUCCCUCCAGCAGGUGUAAGGCCGACGUGCUGUAGGGAGUUAAUUGGGGCGAGGCUAGCUGGAGAAAGAUGGGAGAGUGGGAGGGAGAGGAGGAGGGGGCGAGAGGAGGCAAGAAAGGAAGAGAGAGAGAGAGAGAGAGAGAGAGAGAGAGAGAGAGAGAGAGAGAGAGAGAGAGAGAUUGACUCUGGCUGACUGUCGGGUGGCUUUUGUUAGUUUCAGGCAGAUUUCAAGACUUGUGUCUCAAAAUGUCCUGCAAUUUUGGCUUCUGCGGCAGUUUGUGAGAUGGGGCCACAAUUCUUGAUUGAUCAGAGGAAAGUAGAGGAGAGAUGAUUCAUCUACGAGUCAACAUUGUCGAUAGCUCAAGAAUCUUGGUAUCCUCAUAACUUCCUUGGUUAUUUUGUUUGUUUCCAAAUUUGCACACCCAGGAACCAAAUCUCAAUGACCCUUUUGUUGCCGAAGGUUCAUUCUCUCUUGUUCCAUCUGUCCGCCAUAAACAUGUAUUUCUGACUGCCCCAUUCCUAAUCCAUUUCUUUCCAUUGGAAUGGGAAGAAGGAAAUGAAAAGUACUCCCAGAUGGAAACCGAAACGGCGUCAGAUCCAGAAUAGUCUUUGUUUGGAUCCAACAGCUGUCUGCCCACCACACCCUCAGUCCCCAAGUCCAAAGCGCAUCCUCGGGGUUUCAUGUGGGAAAGGGAGAAAAAAGAAACACUUCAAAAUCUGUAUUUUUACAAGCAGGAUUUCACAAUCCUUGGGAACUUUGAGACUUGAAUGGUUAAUCUUUCAGGCGAAAUUGUCACCCCAACGACUGUUUACAAGUAAGCCGAUGCAAAUGUUGAAACCGUGUUGGCAAGCUGGAUGCGCAGGUUUGUAUUUUGCCCUGAAAAGCUUCUUGGUUUCUCUCCCAGACUGCCUCGGUUCCUCCCCUCUCAGCCUCAGUGCAUUGUAUGUUGAAGGGGCGGGGGAGGGAGAGAUGGAGAAAGCUUAAGCGAUGGGAACCUUGAGGCCCAGGGAUUUCAAGGAAAGCGAAAUGAACCAGAUGUCAUAGUUGCAGGACCAGUCAUGUUGUGUGACAGACGAGAAGAGGCGGCGCCCGUCAAUCAGCAGCUCCCGUGUGCUAAUCCUCACCCCAGUGAGCUGAUUGGGUCCUCUGGAUUCUGACCACUGUGAUGGUCAAUCAUACAGCUGCUCUAUUCAGGCUCAUCAUCUCCCUAUUCUUACAGAUUAUUGCAUCAUGGCCACCAAGACAAAAAAAAAAAAAAAGAGAAGGAGGAUCAAAGUCAUCAAAGCCAUGUGUCCUGAAAGAAAUACUCAAUGUGACGGGAAUUUUUCAUCAAAUUGACUUGCUGUAAAAGACUAUUUCUAUCAAAUAGCAAUCAAAUGGUUAUGAUUAUAAGUAAUCAAAAGCUGGAUGUUUCUGUAGUGGGGGUGGUUUCUCCUCUUGUUUCUAUUCAGAAUGCAUACCAAUCUUGCCUUUUAAUUUCGAGGCCAUUUCUCUAACACUUACAAUUCUAUUACUUAUUUAAACCUCAUACUCAGAAAGCAAUGACUUCAGAAACAAUCAGUUAUUCUAUUCAUAGCAAGUUCAUCACAAUUUUUUUACUCUGAUUCUGACAUUGAUUCAAUAACUUUGUAAAAAUUAUUUGUCACCUGCCAAUUGACUUCUAUGGUAAUGAGAAUCAUCUGGCAUUUUGCUACACUUACCAAAUAACAAAGAAACAUAGUGAAAAAUCACUUAUAAUUAUCACUACAUUUAUGAAAUAUUUGUUAAUCAUUUUAAUGCUUGUGACAGUGUCAGAAGUAAUUAUUGCAAAUGUGUUGCCAAAUUGAUCUGGUGAUAAUCAAUUCUUAUUACAUAUAAUGGUAUGAAACAGUAUUUCCUGUAAAAGAGUGGUAUAACCUUUUGAAAUUGGUUUCCACGAAGAAUUUAUUUUUCAUCUCCUUAUCUUGAUAAAAAGAUAUUCCCGAGCUAAGCUAAAGUUUUGCCUAAAUCUUUCUUUCUGGUGAUAAACUGAAAUCUUACCCUGUAAUGAUAAUUUUUUUUUCUUAAAGACUUAUUUCUUGACUCUUAUCUUUUUAUUAAGAUAUAGAUGACAAAAGUUAUACAUAUAUGGUAUAUAACAUGUUUUGAUAUAAUAUGUGCUGCUAAAUAGUUAAAUCAAGCUAAUUUAUGUCACUUCACAUACUUUUGUUUUUGUAAGAACGUGUAAGAUCUAAUCUCUUAGUGACUUUAAAGUAUACAAUAUACUGUUAUUAAAUAUAGUCACCAUGCUGUCUAAUAGAUCACUCUUCUUACCCUGUCUAACUGAAACUUUGUACCCUUUGACCAACAUCUCCUCAUUGCCCCAACCCCACCUUGGCUCCUGGCAACCACCCUAUGCUUCUGUGCUUUUUUAGAUGUAUGACAUCAUGCAGUAUUUGUCGUUCUUUGUCUUUUUUUCCACAUCAUAUAAUGUCCUGCAGGUUCAUGUAUGCUGUCCUAAAAAUAAGAUUUCUUUUUUUUUAAAGGCUGAAUAGUAUUUCAUUGUACAUAUAGACCAUUCAUCCAUUGAUGAACACUUAGGUAGUUUGUAUAUCUUGGAUAUUUGAAUUAUGCUUCAGCCAACAUGGGAGUGCAAAUAUAUCUUCAACAUACUGAUUUCAUUUCUUCUGAAUACAUAUCCAAAAAUGAGAUCGUGGAUCACAUAAUAGCUCUGUUUUCAAAUUUUUGAAGAACCUCCCUAGUAUUUUCCACAAUGGCUGUACUAAUUUACAUUUCCACCAACAGGGUACAAGGAUUCCCUUCUCUUUUAUCUUCUAUCUUUUUCCUAAUAGUCAUUCUAACAGGUGUGAAGUAAUAUCUCAUUGUGGUUUUAAUUUGCAUUUCCCUGAUGAUUGGUGAUGUUCAGCAUUUUCUCAUAUACCUUCUGGCCAUUUGUCUUCUUUUGAAAAAUAUCCAUUGAGAUCCUUUACCAGUUUUUAAAUCAGGUUACUUGUUUUCUUUCUAUUGAGUCAUUUGAAUUUCUUAUGUAUUUUUCAUAUUAUCCCCUUAUCAGAUGUAUGGUUUGCAAAUGUUUUCAUACAUCCCAUAGGUGAUCCCUUAAAUCAGUUUAUUGUUUCCUUUGCUAUGCAGAAGCUUUUUAAUUUGUUGUAAUCCCAUUUGUCUAUUUUUGCCUUUAUAUCCUGUGCUUUUGGGGUCACAUUUAAAAAAAUCUGUGCCCAGAAAAAUGUCAUGGAGCUAUUCUCCUGUGUUUUUUCUUUUUCGGUAGUUUGACAAUUUCUAGUUUGAUAUUUAUGUCUUUCAUCAUUUUGAGUUAGUUUUUGUAUGUAUUGUGAAAUAUGGAUGGAUUUCGUUCUUCUGCAUGCGGAUUUCCAUUAUUCCCAUCAUUAUUACUGAAGACAUUGCCCUUUCCUCCAUUGUGUAUUCUUGGCACCUUCGCUAAGAUCAUUUGACUGUAAAUGCAUGAAUUUACUUCUGGGCUCUCUAUUCUGUUGCAUUGGUCUAUGAGUCUGUUUUUAUGCCAGUACUAUGUUGUUUUGAUACUAUUGCCUUGUAGUAUGUUUUGAAAUCAGGCAGUGUGUGGUCUGCAGCUUUAUUCUUUCAUCUGAAGACUGCUUUGGCUAUUUGGGAUCUUUUGUGGUUCUAUAUGAAUUUUGUAUUCCUUUUCUAUUUUUGUGGAAAAAUCACUAGAAUUUUGAUAGGAAUUACAUUGCGUCUGUAGAUUACUUUGGAUGGUACAGACAUUUUUCUUUAUUUUUUUAAUUUUUAAUUUUUGUGAGUUCAUAGUAAGUGUAUAUAUUUCGGGGGUGCACGAAAUAUUUUGAUACAGGCAUGCAAUGUGUACUAAUCACUCUAUGGAAAACAGAAUAUUCACUUCCUUAAGCAUCUAUCCUUUGUGUUACAAACAGGUCACUUUGUAAAUAACUAAAUAACCUUUAGUUAUUUUUAAAUGUAUAACAAUUAUUAUUGACUAUAGUCACCCUAUUGUGCUAUGAAAUGCUAGGUCUUCUUAAUUCUUUAUAGCUAGUAUUUUAUACUCAUUAACAAUAUCCACUUCCCUGCAUCCACUACCCUUUCCAACCUCUGUGAACCAUCCUUCUAUACUCUAUCUCUGUAUGUUCAAUUGUUUUGAUUUUUAGAUCCCACAAAUAAUUUGUCUUCCUGUGCCUGGCAGUGCAGACAUUUUAACAAUAUUAAUUCUUCCAAUCCAUGGAUAUAGGAUAUCUUUCCUUUAUUUGUAUCUUCAUCAAAUAUUUAAUCAAGGUUUAAAGUUUUCAUUAUACAGCUAUUUCUCCACCUUAGUUAAAUUUAUCUGCAUUUUUGUGAAGCUAUUGUAAAUAGCAUUUUUAAAAUGUCUCUUUUGGGUAGUUCAUUGGUAAUACACAGAAACAUUAAAAUCAAAUACACUAUUAAUUUUGUAUUGUACAACUUCACUGAAUUUGUUAAUUAGUUCUAACCACUUUAUUGGUAGAGCAUUAAGGUUUUCUACAUAUAAAAUUAUAUCAUCUGCAAACAGAGACAACUUUACUUCUUUUCAAUUUGGAGCAUUUUGCUUCUUUUUCUUGCCUAUUUGCUCUGGCUAGAACUUUCAGUACUUUAUUAAAUAGAAGUGGUAAGAUUGGGCAUCCCCAUCUUGUUCCUUAUCUUAGAGGAAAAGCUUUCAGCUUUUCACCAUUGAGUAUAAUGUUCACUGUGGGCUUGUCAUAAAUGGCCUUUGUUAUGCUGAGAUACAUUCCUUCUACAACUAAUUUGCUAACAAUUUUUGUGAUGAAAGGAUGUUGAGUUUUGUCAAAUGUUUUUUCUGCGUCUAUUAAGACAAUUAUAGGUUUUUUCUUUAUUCCAUCAAUAUGAUGUAAUCAUACUUUUUGAUUUGCAUAUAUUAAAAUAUCUUUACAUCCCAGAGAAAAAUCCCACUUGAUCAUGAUGUGCAAUCCUUUUACGUGCUGUUGAAUUCAGUUUGCUAAUAUUUUGUUGAGGAUUUUUGCAUUGAUGAUGCCCAUCAGAAAUAUUGACCUGUAAUUUUCUUUUCUUCCAGUAUUUUUGUCUGGUUUUGAUAUCAGGGUAAUAAAGGUCUAAUAUAAUGAGUUUGUAAGUGUACCCUUUUUUUUAAUUUUUUGGAUGAGUUUUAGAAGGAUCGAUGUUACUUCUUUAACUGUUUGCUGGAAUUCACCAGUGAAGCCAUGGAUUCUGGGGCUUUUCUUUUUGGGAGGUUUUUGAUCACUUAAUUCCUUUACUCAUCAUUGGUCUGUUAAUAUUUUCUUUUUCUUCAUGAUUCAGUCUUGGCAGCCUGUGUUUCUAGAAAUUUAUGCAUUUCUUUUAAAUUAUCCAAUUUACAGGCAUAUAGUUAUUCAUAGUUGAUUAUAGCCUCUUAUGCUCUUUUAUAUUUAUGUGGAAUCCGUUGAAUUGUCUUCUUUAAUUUUUUAUCUUAUUUCUUUGAAUCUUCUCUCUUGUUUCUUAGUUUAGCUAAAGUCUUGCUAAUUUUGUUCAUAUUUUAAGAAAACACACUCAGUUUUAUUUAUCUAUUAUUUUUCUAGUCACCAUUUAAUUUAUUUCUGUGCUCUGAUAUUUAUUAUUAUGUUUUCUUUCCUGUGAAUUUGGGCUUGGUUGUUUUUUUUUUUUUUCUGGUUCCUUAAGGUGUAAAGGUAGGUUGUUUAUUUAAGAUCUUUUUACUCUUUUAAUAUGGUCAUUUAUUGCUGUAGAUUUCCUUCUUAGAUCUGCUUCGCUGCACCCCUUGAGUUUUGAUAUGCUGUGUUUCCAUUUUCAUUUGUCUCAAAAAAUUUUUUGUUUCCUUUUUGGUUUUAUUUUUUAAUCCACUGGAUAUUAAAGGCUAUGUAAUUUAAUUUUCGCAAAGGUAAUAUUCAAACACAAGGCAAAAUUUUAUUAUCCAAUUUCUCAAUGAUACAUUUCAUCAUAAUUGCAAUUUCUGAUGAGAAAACUUGGAAAAUAACUUUCUGUAAAGAAUAAUUAAAGAAAAUGAAUAUUAAUUAAGAUUGUGAUUUAUUCAUAGUCAGUUUGCUUUGUCUUCCCUUUAUGUCUCUUUCUUUAGGAAGCUGUGCUUCAUGUUGCAAAGGAGCUUGUAAAUUAUGGAAUUUAUAGAACAUACAGAAUCUACAAAUAAAAUGGUUUGUUGUUUGUUUUGGUUUUACAGAUUUACAAUAAA